AUGGCGCCACCUCCGCUCCCCCUCUUCUCCCCGUCCCCGAAGCAGCCGCCGCCGCCGCCGUGGCUCCACGGCCCGAAACCCCCCGCCACAGUGACCCCUCCACACCCUGCAGAGGCCCCUCCGAGUUCGAAGCCGCAGCGGCAAAGAGAAACCAGCUCCUCCGCCAACCCCCUCAGCGCCGGCGUGCCCGGCGGCCGCACCCGCCGCGCCGUGCUCGGCAUCAUCCGCCGGGUCCGCUCCCUGGAGCUGUCCGACCCCUCAACUCCGAGGCCCAGACCCAGCACCCGCGGCAGCGUCCCCUUGUUCGACCUCCCGGUCGAGGAAGGCCGGGGAGCGGAGGCGGGGGGAGACGGGAAGGGGAGGCCGGUCCCGUGGUCCGCGGCGAGGGACGAGGGCCUCAAGGCCGCGCUGCGGCGGAAGAAGAAGGCGCGGCAGCCCACCCCCGCGGAGCGGCUGUUGGACCCCGCCGAGCUGGAGCGGCUGCGGCGGGCGGCGCGCGGGGUGGCGGACGGGUGGGUGCGGGCCAAGAAGGCCGGGGUGACGGACGAGGUGGUGGAGGACGUGCGCGGGCUCUGGUCCGGCGGCCGGGAGCUCGCCGCCGUCCGGGUCGUCGAGCCGCUCCGGCGGUGCAUGGACAGAGCGAGGGAGAUCCUUGAGAUAAAAUCAGGAGGUUUAGUUGUUUGGACAAAAGGAGACGUUCAUUUUGUGUACAGAGGAAGUGAUUAUCUAGAAAACACAAAACAUCGUCACAAGUCCGUAGCUGAUAUUCAGAGAGUUCCCCCUGAAGAAUGUACUGCGCCUGAGCCCCAAUGGAAACACGGAAGCAACACCGAGCCUUCAAAAAAUCAUAAUGGUGAUGCUCAUGGUGUUUUCCGAGAGAUUGAUCCAAGCCUUGGUGUUCACGCAUAUGAAGAGCCUCUCGAAGGAACACUCUAUGAGAGAGAAGUAAACAGACUGUUGGACAGCUUGGGCCCUCGGUUUGUAGAUUGGUGGUGGAACACGCCAUUGCCUGUGGAUGCUGAUCUCCUUCCAGAAGUUGUUCCAGGCUUCAAAACUCCAUUUAGACAGUGCCCUCCUGGUGUGAGACCGACGCUAGCAGAUGAGGAGCUGACAUACCUGCGCAAGCUUGCACGUCCCUUGCCGACACAUUUUGCUCUAGGUAGAAAUACAAGACUACAAGGUUUGGCAGCUGCUGUGCUAAAGCUUUGGGAAAAGAGCCUUAUAGCGAAGAUUGCAGUGAAAGUGGGUAUCCAGAAUACCAAUAAUGAGCAAAUCGCAUGGAAUCUUAAGCAUCUUACUGGAGGAACUAUCAUAUUGAGAAACAAAGAUUUCAUUAUUCUAUAUAGAGGCAAGGGUUUUCUUCCAGGUGGAGUUAAACGAUCUGUUAUUGAGCAAGAGGCUCGGGUAGAUGCCCAGCAGGUGAAUGAAGAAGAAGCCCGAUUAACGGUGAUGGACUCGCUUCAGAUGUUUGCUGGUUUACCAUCUGAGGAAACUUCUGCGGGAACUUUCAGAGAAUAUCUGGAUUUCCAGCUUAACCAUGUGCAUGAAAUAACUGAAAACAACUUGGGCAUGGUAGAACUAGAGGCCGAGAAGCAUAGACUCGAGAAGGAGCUGAAAGACCAGCAACGGAGACUUUCCAUUCUUACGAAGAAGAUUGAAAGAUCCAACGAAGCGCUGGCGAAGCUUCAUAGUUCUUGGAACCCUUCAGGGCAAUCUGCAGAUAAAGAACUUUUGACAGAGGAGGAAAGAAUGAUAUUCCGAAAAAUUGGCCUAAAAAUGGAUGAGCAUGUGCUCCUUGGAAGACGUGGUAUCUUUGACGGUGUAAUUGAAGAGAUUCAUCAACACUGGAAACAUAAAGAGAUUGUGAAAGUAAUUACCAAGCAGAAUCAAGCUUACCAAAUAACAUACACAUCAAUGCUGCUUGAGGUUGAGACAGGAGGAAUGCUAAUAGCAACACAGAAGCUCACAAAUAGCCAUGCCAUAAUACUUUACCGUGGAAAGAAUUAUCAUCGCCCAACAAAAUCAUCACCAAGUAAUCUCCUGACAAAGAGAGAGGCAUUACGAAGAUCAGUUGAGGUUCAACGACGAGGGUCAAUGAAAUACUACGUUUGGGAGAGACAAAAGUCUAUUGAGGAUUUGCAAUGGAGACUGGCAAAUGUGACAACGAAAAUCAGGAAACUAACCGCAUGA
rnacentral:rRNA from 1 species